AGAUUUGCUAUAAAUAUUCGACAUUUAUACCAGUGCCAAAGUAGCCGUUAUGCAACUAGCCGUUGUCUGUAAGACAUGGAGGAAAGAAAACAAGAUGAGGUGGCUGGAGGAGGGUGGAGACGGAGAGGGCUUGUAACUUCUAAAGGAAUGUGAGUUUUUAGGGUUUUUGCAGCGCAGCGUAUGCCGUUCGCGUCUUUUAUCCGGGAUCAGGGUCAUCGCUGAUCGUGUUUUGGCCGGCCCCCACAUGCUCUGCUUCAGCCGUUUCCCAAAGCAUUUUCAGCAACUUCAAGCAUGUGCAAGUUGGUGUUUGAUAUUGUCAAAUAAGUGUCAACAAAUGAAGGGUAGAAUAUAUGUUGUAAACAUAGGAGUGUUGGUGGUAUGACGUAUGGCAAUGCCUGAAAUUGAAACUGCAGUGUCUCCAUCCUAGCUGAGGAUAAAGGCAGUCCAGAAUAAUCAUAUCCACUGAAGAGGUAAAUACCCAAAAAUCUCUAGACUUAUGUACUUACCCUUGUCUUAUGAGAAAAAGAAAAGAAAUGAAACAAAAAAAAAAAUGUCUCACCAUGGCAAACUAUUUUUCUACAUCAGCUUGGUCCAGGCUUACAUUGUAUUCUUAUUUUAGUUGUUUUCGCUGCUACGUUUUUCUUUCUUACAGGAUAAGACAACUGAUGUUGUCUUUCCACAAGGUGAAAACAGAGAGAGGCAACAUGUCUUUGAUGUUAAACUAUUAUCCAAAGGCAUUUGCAAUCCUAUCUUUCCAUUUCAAAUUCUCUUCUAUGUGCUCUUUUUCAGUCCAUCCAGUUGAUCAACUCUGACUAUUUGAGUUUUAUUUAGGAUACCAGUGCUAUGACGCAAUCCUUUUAUGUUUAAAUGCCUGAAAUGCACCCAUGAGAGGUUUACAUUUUCCUUGUUUUGUUGGGAGCUUACUGGGACACCCUUGAAAGUUCAGAAAUCUUGAUGUGAAAUUAUAUCUUCACAUUGCCUUCCAUGCUUUAGCUUACUGUAACAUUUUCUUUCUUUUCUUUUUCUUCUAACUUCUUAUUGCGCAUUAUCAAUAAUCUUUCUAAGGUAUGGAAGUCUGUGUAACACUCAUUACAGUGAGGCUGUCUCUGUUAACAUCUGUUUUUGGGUGCCUACUGCAUUUUCUGUAUUCACUUCGUUUAUUAGUAGACCUAUAUUUUAUUAA